CGUAGGUGACCUGCGGAGGGAUCAUUACCGAGUUCAUGCCCUUACGGGUAGACCUCCCACCCUAUGUUAUAUUACCUUUGUUGCUUUGGCGGGCCGCCCGGCUUCGGCCAGGCUACCGGCUCCAGCUGGUAAGCGCUCGCCAGAGGACCCUCAACUCUGAAUAUCAGUGUCGUCUGAGUACUAUAAAAUAGUUAAAACUUUCAACAACGGAUCUCUUGGUUCUGGCAUCGAUGAAGAACGCAGCGAAAUGCGAUAAGUAAUGUGAAUUGCAGAAUUCAGUGAAUCAUCGAAUCUUUGAACGCACAUUGCGCCCCUUGGUAUUCCGAGGGGCAUGCCUGUUCGAGCGUCAUUACAACCCUCAAGCACUGCUUGGUAUUGGGCUCCGCUGGCUCCAGCGGGCCUUAAAAUCAGUGGCGGCGCCGUUUGGGCUCUGAGCGUAGUAAAUAUCCUCGCUAUAGAGACCAGGCGGUUCUUGUCAUCAACCCCCAACUUUCUAAGUUUGACCUCGGAUCAGGUAGGGAUACCCGCUGAACUUAAGCAUAUCAAUAAG
rnacentral:rRNA from 1 species